AAGCUGUUUACAAUGAGAAAAGGAUUGCCGUUCAGAAAUUGAAGUUAUUUCAUGAUUCUACUUUAACAUAAUGAAGAUGGAGCUAAAGUUGAAUACCGGGUGUGGAAUCCGUUACGAUCUAAGUUGGCAGCCGCCAUUCUUGGCGGUGUUGACAAUAUAUGGAUUAAACCUGGUGCCAAGGUUCUCUACCCUGGAGCUGCUUCUGGUACAACUGUUUCUCAUGUAUUUGAUGUUGUUGGUCCUUGGAAUUUUCUCACCGGGGUGGUAGAGAUUUGGUUAACAUGGCCAAAAAGAGAACAAAAACAAAUGUUAUACCCAUAAUUGAAGAUGCUAGGCAUCCGGCCAAAUACAGGAUCCUAGUUGGUAUGGUGGAUGUGAUAUUUUCUAAUGUUGCUAUCAGGUUUGCUUUGUUUUGCUUUGUUGAUUUCUUUUUUCUUAUUUUCCCCCUAUAGUGAAUGGUGAUGUAAUCAGGAGGAAUAGGCUUUUAGUUUCUUGGUUGAAUUUGUUUUGUUUAUUUGCUUUCUUCCGUUUUGAUUCUUCCAGCUGUUUUUUAAACAGAGUAGUCUUGGAUUUCUGGCUUAAGGCACAGCUUUAAGUAUCAUAUGCAUAUGAUGAACUCUACUCGGAUUCCCCUUCAAGACUUCAUGGGUGAUGCUAACUCGAGUUUCUGAUGCGAUAAUAAGUGACCAACCUUGAAUAGUUUACAAUUUCAAUUUUUGUAAGAAGAUUCAUUU